rnacentral:tRNA from 1 species
GGGACUGUAGCUCAAUGGUAGAGCACUUGCCUUACGUGUGAGGUCCCUGGGUUCGAUCCUCAGUACCA